rnacentral:rRNA from 1 species
GCACAAGCGGUGGAUUAUGUGGAUUAAUUCGAUGCAACGCGAAAACCUUACCUACCCUUGACAUGUCCUGAAGCCUGGAGAGAUCCGGGCGUGCCCGAAAGGGAACGGGAACACAGGUGCUGCAUGGCUGUCGUCAGCUCGUGUCGUGAGAUGUUGGGUUAAGUCCCGCAACGAGCGCAACCCUUGUCAUUAGUUGCUACAUUCAGUUGGGCACUCUAAUGAGACUGCCGGUGACAAACCGGAGGAAGGUGGGGAUGACGUCAAGUCCUCAUGGCCCUUAUGGGUAGGGCUUCACACGUAAUACAAUGGUCGGUACAGAGGGUUGCCAAGCCGCGAGGUGGAGCCAAUCCCAGAAAGCCGAUCGUAGUCCGGAUCGCAGUCUGCAACUCGACUGCGUGAAGUCGGAAUCGCUAGUAAUCGCGGAUCAGCAUGUCGCGGUGAAUACGUUCCCGGGUCUU